AGCGAACGCUGGCGGCAGGCCUAACACAUGCAAGUCGAGCGCCCAGCAAUGGGAGCGGCAGACGGGUGAGUAACGCGUGGGGAUCUGCCCAAUGGUACGGAAUAACCCAGGGAAACUUGGACUAAUACCGUAUGUGCCCUUCGGGGGAAAGAUUUAUCGCCAUUGGAUGAACCCGCGUCGGAUUAGCUAGUUGGUGAGGUAAAGGCUCACCAAGGCGACGAUCCGUAGCUGGUCUGAGAGGAUGACCAGCCACACUGGGACUGAGACACGGCCCAGACUCCUACGGGAGGCAGCAGUGGGGAAUAUUGGACAAUGGGCGCAAGCCUGAUCCAGCCAUGCCGCGUGUGUGAUGAAGGCCUUAGGGUUGUAAAGCACUUUCGCCGGUGAAGAUAAUGACGGUAACCGGAGAAGAAGCCCCGGCUAACUUCGUGCCAGCCGCCGCCGUAAAAC
rnacentral:rRNA from 1 species